GGAUUGGCUAAUUUUUUUUCCCACUGAAAGUGUACGUACCAUAGCAUGGUAACUUUCAUGUAAAUUUGGUUCAAUGUAAUAAUAGUAUUUAUUUUAAAAGCUGAACUUUGUUCAUAUAAGUUUCUACUUAACUACGGAUUACAGUAGCAAACAAGUAAGGAUGAGAAAGGACCAACAAAAAUAAAGAAAUUAUUCAGAAAUCAGGGUAAACUGAUGUCUCCUUUAAGGCAGUUUGUUACCUUACUGCAGUCCUGCUAUUAACUUUCGGAAGACAGAAGGAAAUUGCAAAAAUUCUGCCUUAGAGAAUGGUUCUUUAGCAUGUAUUUUCCCAGUAAAAAUUAAUUAGGUUAAAAUAUAAAUGAUUUCAAAUCCUCAGUGAUUGUAUAAAUACUGAACCAAAUAUCCAGUCGACAUUGCUGCAGGUUUUUUUUUUUUUUUUCCCAACAAAGCAGGUUGAAAAACGGAAUGAGGUGUGGGGUCCAAUUUGGACAUGGUGGUCAGAAGGCCUCUUGACAUAACUGAUGAUGUGAAGGAAGAACAUUCUGAGUAGGAGGAAGAGAAAGGACAAGGGCCAUGGCAUGGGGGCAUACUUGGGUGGAGAUGGAAAUUACACUUGUUUACUGAAGUUCAGCGGUGUUCGCUCAAAUUCAGGAUUUAAAGGAGCAAGAACAUUGGAACGCUUUGAAGUGUGGCUCUGGGGCUGUCAUGUAUGCGUAUUUAUUAGCUAAGUGAAUCACUUCCUCUGUAGACCCUCUUAAUUCCAAAUGUACUGAAUUUUAAGGGACAUUUUAAAAGCCUAAACCCAAGUCUUUAAUCUGUACUUGUUAAAGGUUUCUUGUCUUUUCAGUGCUAAACCAAGAGAUCUGGUAGUUUUUCUUAGAAUUACCUGCAUUUACAUACUAUGUGAGCCAGCUCAGUUGCUACAUUGAGUCCAACUCUUUUGAGACCCUAUGGACUGUAGCCUACCAGGCUCUUCUGUCCAUGGAAUUUUCCAGGCAAGAAUACUGGAGCGGGUUGCCAUUUCCACCUCCAGAUUUUCCAACCCAGGGAUUGAACCUGUGGCUCCUGUUUGGCCAGCAGAUUCUUUACCACUGAGCCACCUGGGAAGCCCCACCAGAUAAACUGUUCUCUUGGAAUGGUGAGAAGUCAUCUGGUCCAACCGUAGUAGUUCUCAAGGACUGGUCCAGUUACCUAGGUAGCUUUUCAUAGUUAGCUGCUUUUCCUUACUUUCUUCUUUCAAAGGAUAUUAGAAAGGGAGAGAGAGCCGAGUCAUGCCUUUUUGAGCAGGCUUUUGUGGGGAACUUACAUGAGAGGGAAAUCAAGCAGAUAGUGAUUUAGCCUUUGCUUGAACUUUUCUAAUGACAGGAGUGUAUUCUCAAGGGACUCGUCUCUUCUGCAUAUAGUGUAUGUGUAUAGGGGGUGGUGUAGGGAAGAAAGGCAUAGUCAAAGGAGAGGGGAUUCAACUGCUCCCAAACACAAUUGAAAAGUUAUCAUAAAGGUGUCUCAGUAUCAAUGUCACCAGUCCCCUCUCCCCAUCCCUCACAUCCUCAGAGAGUAAAAAUGUUGGCAGGGAUGAGAGACUUCUUUGCUCAGGCGUAAGACCCUCUUGUUUGGCCCUGUUGUCUAAAAUGAGGGAAAUGGUGGAGGACUAAUCCUACAGAUGUCCUCAGUAGGUACUUUGCUCCUUUAUAUUCCCCCUGGCUGUUUAGCACCAUCCUUAGACUUGUUGGGUUAUAGUCCUUGUUGUUACUGGCGGAGGAGCUCCAGCUAGACUAUGAUGGUGUCUUUAUGAUGUUAGGUUUUGUUUUAUUCAAGGUGGUAUGAUCACAGGAAAUGAAAGUCUUAGAGACAGUUUUUAAAUCUAUUUUUAGAACAUUCUGGUAACAAGUCGAUUUGAGAAAAAUGAUGCUCAGAUUUCAGUGUUUUUACACAGGUAAUAUUGCCAACAUCUGUUCAAAUCAAAAACAUUUCACGUCUAUUCAGUACACUCAACAGAUUGUAAACUUGUUAAACUUUAAAAGAAUCAAAACAAUGUAAACACGAAAAAAAUCAAACAGUAAAUGGAUCUGUAAUUGAUUAUCAUGCCUUUGUCUACUGUUAUCAGAAUUGAUGAGUCCCUUGAAGACAGUUCAGUUCAGUCGCUCAGUCAUGUCCGACUCUUUGCGACUCCACGAACCGCAGCACACCAGGCCUCCUUGUCCAUCACCAGCUCCCAGAGUUACCCAAACUCAUGUCCAUUGAGUCGAUGAUGCCAUCCAACCAUCUCAUCCUCUGUCAUCCCCUUUUCCUCCUGCCUUCAGUCUUUCCCAGAAUCAGGGUCUUUUCAAAUGAGUCAGCUCUUCACAUCAGGUGGCCAAAGUACUGGAGUUUCAGCUUUAGCAUCAUUCCUUCCAAAGAAAUCCCAGGGCUGAUCUCCUUCAGAAUGGACUUACUUGCAUCUAAUACUGAUAAUUUUAGAAAGGGCUUAUUUAUCUUUGCUCAUGUCAUUUUUUUUUUUUUCUUUUUUGGUGUAUGUGGCAUUUGUCAGUAAGCUUGCAGAAAUGCUAGUAAGGAAUAAUUGAUGUUCUUAUUACACUCAGAUCACAGAAAGGGCUAGUAAUUGAAUUACUUUUGUCCUUAAAGACAUACCUUUGAGAAGCUCAUGAUUUAUUGGGAAUCCACCUGAAUCAAAAUUUCCAUAUUGUAAAUGGCUGCUGCUUCCAUUCCUUUUUCUCCUUAUUCUACUUGUCCUUCUCUUCUUUCCCCUAGUCUUUGGACAGGUUAAAGAGAUAGGAUUAAUGGAACUAUGAUAAAGUAGGAACAGUGGUGUCCGGUGGUCUUUUCCAAGGAUUAUGUGAGAUUUACACCUUCUAAAUGCAAGAUAGAGAACCAAGUGAAAGUUGGUGGUCCGAUAACCAUUAAUUGAAUUGCUUUUACAUAUCCUGUUGUAAAAUUGGAAUACAUGCAUUUUUGUCCUGCCCUCAUUUCUCUUAAACUUUUCACCUGACAUCCUAUAUUUCAGACAUACAAAAUUAUUUACCCAA
ensembl:lncRNA